rnacentral:rRNA from 1 species
UACAGAGGGGGCAAGCGUUAUUCGGAAUUAUUGGGCGUAAAGGGCGCGUAGGCGGCCAAGCAAGUCAGGGGUGAAAUCCCUCGGCUCAACCGAGGAAUGGCCUCUGAAACUGCAUGGCUUGAGACCGGGAGAGGGUGGUGGAAUUCCCAGUGUAGCGGUGAAAUGCGUAGAUAUUGGGAGGAACACCGGUGGCGAAGGCGGCCACCUGGACCGGUUCUGACGCUGAGGCGCGAAAGUGUGGGGAGCAAACAGG